rnacentral:tRNA from 1 species
GAGGCUGUAGCUCAGUGGCAGAGUGCUUGCCUAGCAUACAUGAGGCACUGGGUUCGAUCCUCAGCAUCA